CCUACGGGUGGCAGCAGUCGAGAAUCAUUCACAAUGGGGGAAACCCUGAUGGUGCGACGCCGCGUGGGGGAAUGAAGGUCUUCGGAUUGUAAACCCCUGUCAUGUGGGAGCAAAUUAAAAAGAUAGUACCACAAGAGGAAGAGACGGCUAACUCUGUGCCAGCAGCCGCGGUAAUACAGAGGUCUCAAGCGUUGUUCGGAAUCACUGGGCGUAAAGCGUGCGUAGGCUGUUUCGUAAGUCGUGUGUGAAAGGCGCGGGCUCAACCCGCGGACGGCACAUGAUACUGCGAGACUAGAGUAAUGGAGGGGGAACCGGAAUUCUCGGUGUAGCAGUGAAAUGCGUAGAUAUCGAGAGGAACACUCGUGGCGAAGGCGGGUUCCUGGACAUUAACUGACGCUGAGGCACGAAGGCCAGGGGAGCGAAAGGGAUUAGAUACCCCAGUAGUC
rnacentral:rRNA from 1 species